rnacentral:lncRNA from 1 species
AAUCCGGCUGUUUAUCGGGCUACUGUGUGAUUUAUUACGAAUAUUGGUUACUGAAUUUCAUUAUUUAGAGCAAUAGGUUGAUGGCUUCAUUUUCCCGUGUUUCACCCUCUCCAGGUGUUGUAAACACUGCUUUUGGACCAGUUUAGGUUGAUUGAGAAACAUUUUGUCGGCGUCGCGGAAGUGCAUAGACAACCAACGACUUGCGGCCGUUUUUUAUGAAUACACCUACCGAAGUACAGCAGCAGGAGGACAUGUACGGCAUGGCAGAAAUGCCCGAUCUCAUGCCACCGGCAGGUGCAUUACAACCCAGUCCAGUAAUCCCGUACGACCACGGACAGGCAGGGAGAAACAGACCAGACCUCCUGUCCGCCCCACGAAGAAUGCAGCGAGCCCCCAAACUCGGACAGAUCGGGCGGUCUACGAGAGUGGUUAUUGAUGAUGAGGACUUGGAUGAUAUUAUAAACAAUAACAGAAGCUUCCCGGUUUCUCAGAGAGUAUCACCUGUUGCCUGAUGCAUGGCUGACUGUGCCAAAGCUGUUAAGAGGCCAACACACCAAAGCAGGCCUACAGAAUUGAACGAAAAUCUCCCUCUCACAUGUUCUCACUUGUCGGCACCUUUCACUGUACAGCUUUUAAGGCUUUCACCUCUUCAAGGUCAAACAAGAGAACUGUGGACUUUGCUUCCUGUUCACUUUAUGCUUGCCCAUCACUUAACUGAUGUCGUGCUUCUGUAGCACUGAAUGACCCUGUCUGGUGUUCUCAGUUUUGGAUGUUUCUUUCUUGAGAUGAAGAUCUUGAUGAUCUCUAAUGCAACAGGGCUAUAUUUAUUAAAUUUGCACUUUACUGCAGAAUAAGAAAGCUAACCUCAGCAGGUUGGAUUACUCAUCUCCCAAAGAGGACAUUUUCCUGUGAAACUCUGUUAACGUGUAACGCGCCAUUUGGUAAGAGCUGUGGUUACCUUGGUAACCAGGGCCUACCUUGACAUUUCUCUGAAUGACAUUGGCUACUUGUUAAUUUUAAGGAUCUUUUAUUUGGUUUUUAUGUGGCUGUUGAUUUUAGUUUGAAUUGAAAUAAGUACAAUCUUGAAUGCAUACUGAGAUGAACAAUCAAAUCUUCUAAACUGAUCUCAGAUGUUGGUUGAAGUAUAUUGCUCUUAAAAAUGUUUUUAGCUUCUAAAUGUUUGCAUGGAAAUUCAUGGAUUUUUGUAAAUUGUUUUGGGGGAGUGCAGUGGGGUGGGAGUAAUAAAGUAUGCAUGAGUAACUUUAUUGCAUUUGUUAAUGUUUGAAUACAGGCUAUUUGUAAAGGUGUUAGUGCUGUCAAUAGAUUAAAAAAAUUAACUGAUUAAUCGCA